rnacentral:rRNA from 1 species
UACAGAGGGUGCGAGCGUUAAUCGGAAUUACUGGGCGUAAAGCGCACGUAGGCGGCUUGGUAUGUCGGGUGUGAAAUCCCCGGGCUCAACCUGGGAACUGCAUCCGAAACUGCCUUGCUAGAGUAUGAGAGAGGGAAGUGGAAUUACCGGUGUAGCAGUGAAAUGCGUAGAUAUCGGAAGGAACACCAGUGGCGAAGGCGACUUCCUUGACCAAUACUGACGCUCAGGUGCGAAAGCGUAGGGAGCAAACAGG